CCCCACUAGAUUAGCUAGACACAGAGCACUGAUUGGUGUGUUUACAAACCUCUAGCUAGACACAGAGUGCUGAUUGGUGGAUUCACAAACCUUUAGCUAGACACAGAGUGCUGAUUGGGGCAUUCACAAUCCUCCAGGUAGACAGAAAAGUUCUCCAAGUCCCUACCCGUCCCAGAAGCCCAGCCGGCUUCACCUCUCACUGGCACUCACCUGUGGCGCCUAGCCCAGGCACUCCAGCAGCCCAGUGGGAGCUCUUCCCCCAAUCAAGCCCAGCAGCUGCUGGCCAGCCACGCCCAGUGUGGGGACGCCAAGCCCCCGCCCACCCGGAACUCUUGACGGCCUGCGAGCGCCACCAGAAGCCCCGGCUCCCGCAGGCGCCUCUCGCUCCACACCUCCAUGCAAGCAGAGGGAGCCGGCUCCAGCCUCGGCCAGCCCCAGAGAGGGGCCCCCACAGUGCAGUGGCGGCCAGAGCGGAUGCCGAGGCCCAGGAGAGGCCGAGAGUGAGCCAGGGCUGCUAGCACGUUGUCACCUCUCACUAACACCAGAAGAGGUGGAGAUGGUCCAUAUUUACAACAUUUGUUGCAGACAAUGAGACAAAUGUAGUCCAUACUCCACAAAUUGCCAGAAGUAAUGUUAUUUGACCCAACAGGAGGGAGAAAGCGGAAUUUGUGUGGAGAGUAACAUGCUGAUGUUUGGAUGUGCAGAGAAGAGUUUCCAUAUAGCAGGAAAAGCCCUUUUUCCUUUCUCUCCAGCUUGUAAGGAA
rnacentral:lncRNA from 1 species